CAGAGCCCGCCAGCUGCUGAGCCAGGGCCACACCUGGAGGUGAUUUUAUGCCUCACCUCCAGUAGGCACCUUGGGCUAAUCUCUGGCUCCCUUGCACUAACUCUUGCUCUCACCCAGCUAAUCCGUGCCUCACCCUGGCUUCCCCUGGGGCUGACUGCUAACAGGCAACCCUGCCCACCUGGGGGCUCCAGGCUGUGGCCUGGCUCUGACUGGCUCUUAAUAACUUCUUGUUUACCUAGACUAACUCCUGCCCUCCUGAUCUGUUCCUUUCAGCAGAAACUAACGGCUUGUGGAUUUCUUUCUGACUAACAACAGGUCUAACACUUCUCAUUACUAUUACUAUUAACAGCUUGAUGUCUGCAUGGCUGGG
rfam:Loxodonta africana cont3.75288, whole genome shotgun sequence.